CAGAAAAUAGUUUAUUUAAAAAUUUUAAUUUUGGAGAUUAAAGAUAGAAUUAAUAUUCUUUUUCUGA
rnacentral:tRNA from 1 species